rnacentral:misc_RNA from 1 species
CAUUCCAUGCGAGUCAGCCUGGAAGUCU